AUAAAGUACAAAUACAAUAGAAUAAUACCUCAAUUAUGUACAAAUAACCUAGGAUAGUUGACCAUUUUUAUAGCCUGCUGUCUCGACAGGGGGCGCCCUUGAGCUAGUGCGCCGCUGCAGCCGUGUAACUAAACACCGUGGAAGAAGAGUUAGCAUUGUAAACACAAGGCUAUGGCUGACGACAGGGGUGGAGGUGAAGACAACAUCAACGACAACAUGGGGAACCAGCUACAGCUCUUACCAGGCAACGGGGAGGAGGAGGAGGAGGAGGAAGAUGACAUGGAGACGCAGGACCAAGACAGUGAGGAGGCAGCAAAACCCAACAUCAUCACGUUUGACCCCAGUCUGCCCACAUCACACAGUUACCUGGGUUCAGACAUGGAGGAGUUCCACGGACGCACAGUCCACGAUGACGACAGCUGCCAGACCAUCCCCGUGCUGCCGCACACGGCCGUGAUGCUGGUGCCGGGGCAGACUCUGCCCCUGCAGCUCUUCAGGCCGCAGGAGGUCAGCAUGAUGAGGAGUGUUAUACAGAGGGAUCGGACAUUUGCUGUGCUCGCACACAGUGACGCAGGUGAACCGGAAGCUGCGUUCGGGACGACAGCAGAAAUCUACGCCUACCGGGAGGAACAGGAGUACGGCAUCGAGACGGUCAAAGUGAAAGCUGUCGGAAGGCAGAGAUUCAAAGUCCACGAGAUAAGAACUCAAGCCGACGGGAUCCGGCAGGCCAAAGUCCAGAUCCUUCCAGAACGCAUCCUUCCCGAUCCCCUGUCUGCUGUCCAGCUAACGCCGCUGUCCAGGCUCGUCACGCACCCUUCUUCCAAGCCCCGAACUCAGAGCUUCAAGCAGGUGGAAUGCUGGUGGAGCAGCUACCAACACAGGAAGUUCCACUGUGCCAGCCUGACGCCAUGGCCCCCGUGGGUCUACGCCCUCUAUGACUCUGAGUCCCUCAUGACAAGAGUAAAGAAACAACUCCACGAGUGGGACGAGAAUCUGAAGGAUGACUCUCUGCCAACCAACGCCAUAGACUUCUCCUACAGAGUGGCGGCCUGUCUGCCCAUAGACGACACGCUGAGGCUCCAGCUGCUGAAGAUCGGCAGUGCCGUUCAGAGGCUUCGCUGCGAGCUGGACAUCAUGGACCGGUGCACGUCUCUGUGCUGCAAGCAGUGCCAAGACACUGAAAUCACCACCAAAAAGGAGAUAUUCAGUUUGUCCCUGUACGGUCCCAUGGCCGCCUAUGUCAACCCUCACGGUUACGUCCACGAGACGCUGACCGUCUACAAGGCCAACAACCUCAACCUAGUCGGCAGGCCGUCCACGCUCCACAGCUGGUUUCCAGGGUACGCCUGGACCAUCGCCCAGUGCCGAAGCUGCGGCUCUCACAUGGGCUGGAAGUUCACGGCCACCAAGAAGGACUUGUCUCCGCCUCGCUUCUGGGGUCUGACCCGCUCCGCCAUGCUCCCUCGCAUCCCCCAGGCUGAGGGCGACGACGAGCGGGAGAGUUCUCGCCUCUUCUGCCUGUGACUACCUGCCUUGUUUUCCUUGGUGGCGUGGUGGAAUGGCUGCAAACCAACCACCUGUGUCUGGCUGUGUGUUGUCAUCACACCCUGUCUCCCUUGGCAACAAAUCCAUCAUAUUAGCCCAAAAGGUCAUCCAGCCUUUACAUGCAGCAUGCAUCUGUAGGAGGAAGACGGGUCGCUCUUAAAGCUUCCACGCAAUUCUGGUGGUUCUGGAGCGUGCUGCGCUGCCGCUGUGUCGCACUUGCAGCUGAUUGCAGGCACUCUGACACCAAAGUGAGAGUAUCGUGCUUUGACGGAGCCCACACGAUGAAUUCACACUCGGAGAGUCUUUCAUGCGUGAGUCGAGGGGAUUGUGAAGGCGAUGGGUUGUAUUUUUGUACGUGAAUAAAAUAGACAGCGAUCAGGCGAGAGUUGAAGGCUCUGCCGGGUGACACAUUCUUAAAGGAAAAGAACAAUCUCCUACCUUAACCUUUGAAACCCGCAGGACCCCGCUGCUGGGGGCUUCGGGGUGUGUCUUGUGUUGCUGUGUUUUUUUGCUCAAUAUCAAUAAACAUGUCCACGGAAUUGGAAGAACGCCAGCAAAACGCUCACCAUAACCAAUAGUAGCAAAACAGAAGGCAAAUCAAAACACAAGCAAAUGUCGAAAACCAGCAGACCCUCCCCAAGACCAGCAUGUGUCAGUCAUUAAUGCGACAAACUUGGCCUAGCUUGAAAGCUAACACUGGAAAGUAUCAUUUAUCUACCGCUAAAAGGCACUGAACAAGCAGCAUGUACUCUUCGCCUGUCGUUUGUCACACAUAAAUGUUUCAGAUCUUCAAACAAAUGUAAAUAUUAGUCAAUGACAACACAACUGAACACCAAAUGCACUUUUUAAAUUAAAUGUUUUAUUAUUAAGGGAGAAAAAAAUCCAAAGCUACAUGGUCCUGUGUGAAAAAGUGAUUGCCCCUCGUUAAAACAUAACUGAGAUUAUUUGCAAUGUGUCAGUGUGGAAAAGGUUCUGAAGCCAUUUCUAAAGCUUUGGGACUCCAGCCAACCACAGUGAGAGCCAUUAUCCACAAAUAGCCAAAACACUGAACAGUGGUGAACCUUCCCAACCAAAAUGACCCCGAGAGCGCAGCAACGACUCAUUCGAGAGGUCACAAAAGACCCCACAACAACAUCCAAAGAACUGCAGGCCUCACUUGCCUCAAUUAAGGUCAGUGUUCAUGAGGCUCGUCUCAAUUUUGCCAGAAAACAAAGCAAAAUUCCUCCCCAGCGCUGGAAGAGACUCAUUGCAAGUUAUAUCAAACGCUUGAUUGCAGUUGUUGCUGCUAAUGGGGGCCCAACCACUUAUUAGCUUUAGAGGGCAAUCACUUUUUCACACCACUAUGUACAUCUUCGUAUCUACAGUAAGCAUCAUAGGCUACGUUCACACCGCAGGCUGUGGCGCCCAAUUUUUUAAUGUCCAUUUUCUUAACCAAAUGAUUCCGCGUAGGAGAUUAAGAAGAAAGAGGGCAAGAGUUUUUGCUUUGGUGGCUGGUGGAGGUCUUGCUGCCACGUCUGUUCCGAGGAGCGUGUGGGUGGAUGUCAGAGCCAAGAGUGGUGGGAGAGUGCCGUCAGCUGCUUCACUGACACUGACACAAUAAUUUUUGGAUGACAAGAACUUUUGCCUGCAUUGGACAACACUGCACUUCACAAAGAGGAAUAAGAUCACUCUUUUGGACCAUCCUGCAUGUUCCCCUCAUCUAAACCCAAUGGAGAACAUUUGGGGAUGGAUUUACAAAAAUGGACAUGAGUUCCAGACAGUGAAGCCAUCUUCACCACCUGGAGCAACAUUCCCACUAGCCGUUACUCACUCCUUCUUUCAACAUUUUAUUUCUGUUUUAGGGGAGUUUGGGUUUUUUAAGCUAUGGUCUUAAACUUUUGAACAGCCUAUUUCACUUGACUGCUUCUUUGCAAGAAAUUGCUUUGUUUGUCUCACUCCCAUUUCUUCUGUGUCUCCACUUCGAACCUCCUUAACAUCCAACAGUGCAAACAUUCUCGCAUUCUUGACGUUUUUCAGCUGCUUUUAACAUUUUGAUCAGGCGUGAUGAUGUACCCGUGAGGAUCCCGAACAUGAACCCAGCACCCAGCAGUCGGCCCAAACUGAAGCUGCUCGACUGAUUCACCCGUGUUCUGCUUUUCCUUCGUGUUGCAGCGUGACCGUCUGGCCACUGAGCAAAUCACUCAACGAAUGUGUCUUCUAUUCCGAAAAAGGAAUGAUAACGUGUGGACUAUACUGUAAACUGUACAGCAUGUUUACAGCUGUUGCACAGCUUUGCCGCCAGUACAGACUGAUAACAUACUUUAAUAGAUACAUAUAUAGGAUAUACAGAAUGUGCCGGCUGCUUAUAUGUCUACUUGAGCUGCGGGAUUCAUGUAUGUCGCUAGCUUUAAAAAGUAUCUCGUACGUCGCAACGCAGUGAGGUCUCUUUGUUUUGAAAGUCCCGCGUUGGACGAAGCACGAGCACAACAGUAGUACCUACAGACACGCGGGACUUUUAUUGUCGUCGUUCCUCAUCACGUCACAUGACAACAGCACCGACAGAAAAUACAACUUGCAGCCAAAGAAAAUAAAAUUGCAUACUCGCAAUGCAAAACGGUACCAUGAAGGUCAUGAGAGACGCGGCUCUGUAUGACAUAGAAAAGACAGCACGACUGUGCCCCCCCAUCACCACCACCUCUCACCAGGCACAAGGUGUAAUGACAUCCGGUAAAUUAGCAUAUUUCACAAGACGGUAAUGCUUUGAGGUAUUUUAAUACAGUCAUGGAAAAAAUGAUGAGAGCACCCGUUUUUCUUCAGUUUCUUGUUCAUCUGAAUGCCCGAUACAACCAAAGGUACCUUUGUUUGGACAAAUAUAACAACGGCAUCACUAAUAGCUCAUAAGAGUUACAUUUUUGGCAGUACAAUGCUAUAGCAUGUAAGUUAUUAUCAAGGAAAGCACGGAAGUUGCUAGAUAUCAGCCCUUAUUAUGAGCUAUAUUGGUUAUCAUUCUAUUUGUCCAAACAAAUGAACCUUUACUUGUAGCAGGCAUUCCAAUGGAUCAAUAAAGUGAAGAAACAAGGCUGCUCAUCAUUUUGUCCAUGACUGUGUACACCAAUACAUACAGGUAUUUCACCAUUUUUGGAUUUUUUUGGCUUUUCCAGUACAAUAUUAUAAAUAUUCCUGAUAUUCCAAAUACUACAUAGACCAGUACAUCUUUUCUCACUUAUUUUAUUUGACUCAAUGUAGAGGUAAACCGUAAAGAAAAAUGACAUUAAAUUCAUUGAAAAUUAAUACAAAAAAAUCCUGAUAAUCCAAACACUAUAUAGAGUUGACCUAUUUAUAUCUUAUUUUAUAUUACUUUUACACUAAAAAUUGUUUCAAAAAAUUAAACACUGAUUUUAUUUGAUCUCAAAUCAAAGUUAAUAAAAAAAAUAUGUAUAAAUACAUUUUUUUCUGUUUUUCAAUGUCGUUAUUGAUUUUUUUAGAUAGUUCAGUCAUAUACUGUAUUAGUACUGGAUGGGAUACUUAUUUAUAUAAUUAUGUUUUUCAUAAUUCCUAAAUCAUGACAUUUUUGCUUUUGCUAGUCAGUUUGAAGAUAAUUAUAAGGCAUAAUUAUAAAAAGUUGUUUAUUUUGCAAUUUUAUGUCAAUUAUUUUUCAUUGUCCAAAUCAAAAACAGUAUUUUUUGUAUUUCUUGUGGAUGCAUCCCGACUUUUCUCAUCCUUCAUAGUCCUUCACCGGCUGUGGCUGCAAAUGGCCCACGGGCCGGACUUUGGAUGCCAGCGGUGUUCCUUUACCGAUGAGAUGAUCCUUUACCGAUGAGAUGAUCCUUUACCGAUGAGAUGAUCCUUUACUGAUGCGUCUUCUUGCAUGUGGAACCGAGCACCGCAUCAGACAACCCACUUCUGCUUGGCCCGACACAAUCGUGCCGUGUUUGUCCUUUCACACGUCGCUGACAAUCGAUGAGUCUUUCCAGGCCCCCCCGGACGAUUAGCAGCAGCAUCCGGCGUCAUCGGCGCCCCCCUCCCUCCCUCAUUUGGAGACGGAGAGGUUUUUAAAACUGGUGUAAAAGGUGCUGACCAGCGUGGCGUCCUCGUGCACGGAGUCCUUGGCGUCGGAGCGCCGCCGGCACACGGGCGUGAGCAGCCGGCGAGGAAGCUGACCGCUGAAGAGGAGGUAGAUGACGGGGUUGACACAGCUGUUGAGGCUGGCCAGCAGCAUCAGGAUGGUGAACGUGGCCGCUGCAAGGACGCAACAUUAGGCACACCUGCACAAUUUCUCCUUCACAAAGAUGUGCACCUCGUUGCACAAUUAGCUUGUUACGCGCACGGGAUCAUGCAGCGCACUUUGCUUUUUAGUGUUUGUGAUGAUGACCGUAGAACAGGAAAUGAAACCUACCGCAUGAAUUGGAUGAAUGUUUAAAAAAAGCACACUCACGUCCACUUCCUUUGGCAUCAAACGCACCACAAAGUCGUUUUGCACUUCUACUGUUUGUUUAUAACUCUUUUUUUUCACUUCUGCUUAGUUUUUAAAACUCUUUUUACACUUGUGCUUUGUUUUUUUGAAAGUCAUUUUGCACUUCUACUGUUUGUUCAUAACUCUUUUUACACUUUUGCUUUGUUUACAUCUUUUUGCAAUUCUACUGAUUGCAUAUAACUCUUUUUACACUUCUGCUUUGUUUUUUAACUAUUUUUGCACUUCUACUGUUUCUUUAUAACUCUUUUUGCAUUUAUGCUUUGUUUUUUUACGCUUUUUGCACUACUAACUCUUUGUGCACUUCUACUGUUUGUAUUUUUAACUCUUUUUGCGCUUCAACUGUUUGUCUUUCUAAUUAUCUUACGUUUAUCUUUUUAACUUUUUGCACUUCUCUUUUUGCACCUCUUCCAUUUGUCUUUUUAACUCUUAGACUUCUGCUUUGUUUUUGUUGUAACUCUUUUUGCACUUCUACUGUUUGUUUUAGAACUCUUUUUCUACACUUCUUUGUUUGUUUUUUUUACGCUUUUUGCACUACUAACUCUUUUUGCACUUCUUCUGUUUGCACCUCUACCAUUUGUCUUUAGAACUCCUUUUGCAUUCCACUGUUUGUCUUUUUAACUCUUUUUGCACUUCUGCUGUUUGUCCUUUUCACCUUUUUCUGCACUUCCACUGUCUUUUUAACACUUUUUGCGCUUUUACUGUUUGUCUUUAACUCUUUUUGCACUUCUGAUGGUUUACUUUUGAACUCUAUUUGAACUGCUGCUGUUUCUGUGAUUUUGCACUUCUUUUUUUAAAUGAACUUAUUUUGACACUUGGGCGUGGUCAAGCUACUGUAGAUAUAUAGAUAUAGAUAUAGAUAUAGAUCUAUAGUGUAGACUUACUUUCUGUGGGUGCGUGGGCGUCCCAGGCAGACCAGAGCUGGACGGUGAAGAAGGGG